rnacentral:lncRNA from 1 species
GCCAUAGAAGAUAGUUCAACAAUUUACUGAAAAUCUAGAUAGUGACAAAUAAAGGCUACAAUUAAAAACAAAAAAGCACGGCAAAAUUAGAAGCAAAAAGCACAAUAUAGUCAUCAGAAACAAAAGAAGAGUUAAUGGUCGAUAACACCAUUUUUUAUUUUUUGAAAUGGUAAAGGUAAACAACACUAUUGUGUUGAUUUGAGGAAAGAGAUCGAACUUUAAGUAGGCCUUCUCUGCUUCAAGGUCCAUCACAUAUUGCUCCAGAUUUCCUUAGAUGAGUAUUCAAUUGACUUUCCCGGGCCUGUAAAGGGGUAUUAAAAAAAAAGGUGGAUUCAUAUAUAGCAGUGGAAAGUUUUAAACUCCCUGAUGCUUUUAUUUGAUAUAGAGAGAUCUAUUCCAAUAGAACUCAUAAAGAUAGAAGUUUUCACCUUUACUCAAUUCCUCCAUCUGAGAGGUACACCCAACUCUAUUUAUUUCAUUUCAUUCAUGUUCUACAAUAUUUUAUCCAAAUUUUUUGUCUCGUUUUGGACCAUUUUCCUAAAAGCAUUAUCCUUCUCUGAAGUUUAAGAACUAAAAACUUCUAAUCACAAAUUUAAACUUCUGCUUUCUCCUUCAAGAAAACAAUAAAUAAAAGGUAGUAUUAAUUUGGAACCGAAAGUAAAAUCUUAAAACCAUCCAGUCCAAAAUCCCACAUUCUUUCAAAAUAAAUUAAGAUAACAAACUGACACUACUUUCACCAAAUUCUACGUAAACUUCCAUUAAUUUUUGGAUAAUGUCCCUGAAUAUGUAAUCUCAACUCCAUAAAGUCUCGCUUUCAACUAUCAUCACGUCUAUAAACUGUGGCUUAUUAACUGCAUAAAGUUGUUCAGUAACCUAAGAUUUUUAGAGAAAAGGAGCUCAAGUAUGUACUUCUAAUAAGGGGGGGUAGAAUGCGUGACUCUAAAUCUCAUACAAUUUUUCAGCAUGGGAGAUGUAAUAUUUAUGCUUUUUCAGUGAAUAAGUACCAUUUGGAAUAGUUCUAGUAUAUAUAAGAAAAAAAUAGUGGAAGUUACAAGAGUAAAAUGAUAGGUGAGAUUCUCAACAGAAAAAAAAAAUAAAGUCAAUACAAACAAUCUUACUUCACACAAUUAUCACUAAUGAAGCUGGACAUAAGUGAUAGAAACUCACCACUUAUGUUUAUCUGACUUUUACUUGUUAAUCUCCAACAUACUUGAAUUGCAAAAAAAAGGACAAAGUAAUAUUACUUGAUACAACUCAAAGACUGAUCAAGAAAAGAAGGAAAAACUAAUAGGGAGACAUACACUGCAACGAUACAAAAAUUUGCUGAGUGCCUGCAAAAUCAAACAAAAUAACCAACAUUAAAAUGGUGUAGAAACUGAACCAAGCUACAAAUCUGCAGUCACGAAUGAGAAUACCAAAAACUAAAAAUGAAACAAAAGCAAAAAAGAGAUUAUAUUGCCAAAAUUAUAUACCAGAGAGUGGGUUGCUCUAGUGUUGAGCACGCUCCACUUCCGACCAAGAGAUUGUGUGUUCGAGUCACCCAAAAAAGAGCAAGGUGGGGAAUUCUUGGAGGGAGGGAGGUCUAUCGAAAACAGUCUCUCUACCCAGGGUGUAGGGGUAAGGUUUGCGUACACACUACACUACCCUCCCCAGACGUGCUAGUGAUUAUUCUGGGUUGUUGUUGUAAACUUACACAUGCAGUACAAAGAGCAACUUGAUGAAAAUCGAAAAAAAUGAUAGCCCAAAUUUUUUAAGUCAAGUAGGACUUGAAUACCUCCUGCAGCGCAAAAAGUUCAAAAAAGUUAUCCAAAUUAAAUACGGUAUAAUUCACGGACUCCCUAGCUAAUUAGUAGGGAGGAAACUGAAAUUUCACAAGAAAAUUCCAAAAGAAACCAAAAAAGGAAGAGGACUAAGCAGAGAAGUAGAAGAUCGAGCAGAAAUGGAAGUAGAGAAUAGAAGAAAACUCACCAGAAGAAAGAAGAACGACGGAGAGAGAAAGCAAAC